rnacentral:tRNA from 6 species
GCUUAGGCGAUGGCAGGCGGGGCAAUCGCUUCGUAAGCGAUGGGUCGCGAGUUCAAAUCUCGCCUCCAGCUCCA